UACGAAGGGGGCUAGCGUUGCUCGGAAUCACUGGGCGUAAAGCGCACGUAGGCGGUUGGGUAAGUCGGGUGUGAAAACUCAGGGCUCAACUCUGAGACGCCACUCGAUACUGCUCUGACUCGAGUCCGGUAGGGGAGCGUGGAAUUCCCGGUGUAGCGGUGAAAUGCGCAGAUAUCGGGAGGAACACCAGUGGCGAAGGCGGCGCUCUGGGCCGGAACUGACGCUGAGGAGCGAAAGCGUGGGUAGCAAACAGG
rnacentral:rRNA from 1 species